rnacentral:rRNA from 1 species
GCCUACACAUGCAAGUCGAGCGCCCUACUUCGGUAGGGAGCGGCGGACGGGUGAGUAACGCGUGGGAACGUGCCCUUUAGUUCAGAAUAGCCACUGGAAACGGUGAGUAAUACUGAAUACGCCCUUCGGGGGAAAGAUUUAUCGCUAAAGGAUCGGCCCGCGUUGGAUUAGCUAGUUGGUGGGGUAAAGGCCUACCAAGGCAACGAUCUAUAGCUGGUCUGAGAGGAUGAUCAGCCACACUGGGACUGAGACACAGCCUAGACUCCUACGGGAGGCAGCAGUGGGGAAUAUUGGACAAUGGGGGCAACCCUGAUCCAGCCAUGCCGCGUGAGUGAAGAAGGCCCUAGGGUUGUAAAGCUCUUUCAGAUGUGAGGAUGAUGACAGUAGCAUCAGAAGAAGCACCGGCUAACUUCGUGCCAGCAGCCGCGGUAAUACGAAGGGUGCUAGCGUUGUUCGGAAUUACUGGGCGUAAAGGGCGUGUAGGCGGAUGAUCAAGCUAGAGGUGAAAGCCCAGGGCCUAACCCUGGAACUGCCUUUAGAACUGAUUGUCUAGAAUCCGUAAGGGGAGUGUGGAAUUCCUAGUGUAGAGGUGAAAUUCGUAGAUAUUAGGAAGAACACCAGUGGCGAAGGCGGCACUCUGGUACGGUAUUGACGCUGAGGCGCGAAAGCGUGGGGAGCAAACAGGAUUAGAUACCCUGGUAGUCCACGCCGUAAACGAUGUCUGCUAGCCGUUUGGACACUUAGUGUCUGGGUGGCGCCGCUAACGCAUUAAGCAGACCGCCUGGGGAGUAC